rnacentral:rRNA from 1 species
AGUGAGCGCUGGCGGCAGGCCUAACACAUGCAAGUCGAGCGCCCCGCAAGGGGAGCGGCAGACGGGAGAGUAACACGUGGGAACGUACCCUUCGGUUCGGAACAACCCAGGGAAACUUGGGCUAAUACCGGAUACGUCCGAAAGGAGAAAGAUUUAUCGCCGAGGGAUCGGCCCGCGUCUGAUUAGCUAGUUGGUGGGGUAACGGCCCACCAAGGCGACGAUCAGUAGCUGGUCUGAGAGGAUGAUCAGCCUCACUGGGACUGAGACACGGCCCAGACUCCUACGGGAGGCAGCAGUGGGGAAUAUUGGACAAUGGGCGCAAGCCUGAUCCAGCCAUGCCGUGUGGGUGAUGAAGGCCCUAGGGUUGUAAAGCCCUUUCGGCGGGGAAGAUAAUGACGGUACCCGCAGAAGAAGCCCCGGCUAACUUCGUGCCAGCCGCCGCGGUAAGAC